rnacentral:misc_RNA from 1 species
UUUCCGUAGGUGAACCUGCGGAAGGAUCAUUAUUGAGAUAUAACGGCGCCCUGUUAGUUGUUGCAAUGUAGAGUCAGUGCUGGCUUCUGAAGUAUGUGCACGCUUUACUUGUAGCUCUAACUUGGUGAUAACCGUUUCUUAUCCAUCCACCUGUGCACUUUUUGUAGGAGUUUUUAUUAGGUUGGCUUUCAAGUCGAAAGACUUUGUUAGUUGGCAUAAUAGGACUUCUAUGUCUUUACAAACCAUUGAAGUAUGUCUAGAAUGUCAUUUUACUGGGACUUCAUUGACCCUUUAAACUUUAUACAACUUUCAGCAACGGAUCUCUUGGCUCUC